rnacentral:sRNA from 1 species
AUGAAUCAUCCUCAGCUAGCCACUGCUCAGUAAUGAACACUGGGCAGCGUAGGGAUGGACCUCUUGUACUUAUAGGCAGUGGGCUGUCUUCAGAACAACAGAAAAUGCUCAGUGAGCUUGCAGCAAUUCUUAAGGCUAAAAAAUAUACUGAAUUUGACAGUACAGGUGAGGAUUU